rnacentral:lncRNA from 1 species
CUUUGCUCUCGCCGAAUGGCUGAGGAGUUUCGGCUCAGUGGAGAGGCCUUUGACUGGCUGCUCGGGGAGAUAGAGUCCAAGUUCAACCAAGCCAUUGUAAGUGUUACACUUCUCCUUACCAUUGAUUUUUUUUUUUUUAAUUCUUUUGUUUAUUGGCUUCUUUGGUUACUAGGAAUAGCCUGUUUCUCUUCACAUUUCUUGGUAUGUUAAUUAGACACUGCAGCCUUUUUCCCAGGUUUGAGACGUAACCACUAGUAGUGCCUGCUUUGCUGUCUCCAGACCAGACUCAGGACAGGGCUGCUAUGUAUAGCACUGGCACUGUAUCAUAGCAGCAUUAAAAAUGAGGGGUUGCCUGUCCUGUGUGAAACAAACAUGUUGAUGCAAAGUGAUGGUAGUGCGGUGUGUAAUGAGGAAGUGAGUGCUGGGACUGGGGUAUGAAAUUGGAGUCUUAUUUUCCUAGAAUGUCUCCUGUAUGUCUAGUUCAAGUAAAAGUAGGGAAUAAAAGAAGUAGAAAAGAGAGUGUAGGUGCUGGAACCUGUUUCACUGUGAAUCCAAGGAUCCAUUUCCCUCUUCUGACAUAGCCCUACGUGAACCAGCCCCAUGUAUAUUAUGCACAUAAAUACAUGCAGGCCAAGAUUUGUACACAUUAAAUAAAUUUUUUUUUUUUAAGAUUUAUUUAUUUUAUGGAUAUGAGUACACUGUUGCUGUCUUCAGACACACCAGA